rnacentral:rRNA from 1 species
GAUGAACGCUAGCGGCAGGCCUAAUACAUGCAAGUCGAACGGUGUCUUCGGACAUAGUGGCGCACGGGUGCGUAACACGUAUGCAACCUACCUUACAUUGGGGGAUAGCCUUUCGAAAGGGAGAUUAAUACCGCAUAAGACAGUAGCUGGGCAUCCAGCAGCUGUUAAAGAUUUAUCGAUGUAAGCUGGGCAUGCGUCCAAUUAGCUAGUUGGUGAGGUAACGGCUCACCAAGGCAAUGAUUGGUAGGGGAACUGAGAGGUCAAUCCCCCACACUGGCACUGAGAUACGGGCCAGAAUCCUACGGGAGGCAGCAGUAGGGAAUAUUGGGCAAUGGACGCAGGUCUGACCCAGCCAUGCCGCGUACAGGAUGAAGGCGUUAUGCGUUGUAAACUGCUUUUAUACAGGAAGAAACGACUCUUGCGAGAGGCAUUGACGGUACUGUAUGAAUAAGCACCGGCUAACUCCGUGCCAGCAGCCGCCGUAAAAC